rnacentral:lncRNA from 1 species
UAGCAAUGCUCUAAUUAGACCAUAAUAAUGGUAAUCAAGCUUAAUCAAAUUCAAAGAAACCUCGGAGAAAUUUCAAACAAACAAUAAGAAUUCUUGAAGAAAUAUUAGAAGGAUCACAAAUAUCACUCAAAUACAUCUCAAUACAAUCUUAAUUUAAUUCUAAUUAAAAUCCUAUUGAACUUCAUUCAAACCUUAGGCCAAAACUAAUUGAAUCUUAAAUCCUAAUAAAAUCCUAAAUCCUAAAUCAAACCCUAAACCCUAAAUCAAAUCCUAAUCAAAUCCUAAUCCAAAUCCUAAAUCCUAAAAAAAACCCUAAUCCAAACCCUUAACUCUAAAUAAAAUCCUAAUCCAAAUCCUAUACUCUAAACCAAAUCCUAACCAAAUCCUAAAUCCUUAACCAAACCCUAACCAAAUCCUAAACCAAACUCUAAUCCAAAACCUAAAUCCUAAAUCAAAUCCUAACCAAACCCUAAAUCCUAAA